CAGAUGUCGAAGCACACGGCACAGGCAACCAGCGAGAAAAAUACAAGUCUGUGCUAUCAGUAAAUGACGGUGGAGGUGACAAGCGACCUGAAUCCUUCUAAAAUCGUCAGUGGAAGAAACACAAGAUGGAAACUAGAGUCUGCAUCGUUAUUGCGCUCCUUGGUGUCAUCAUGGUAAAGUUUAAUCAUGCGACCAAUGAGGCUCCAAACAUGUUAAUCUCAGAGAAGCAGAAGCCUUUCGACCAACAGCUUCUGUCACAGGAAGAAUCAGGUGAGAUGUCGGGUGGGGAGAGACGCCACGACGGGGUGUCUGUGAGAAACACCCGAGGCAUUGGGGGACGUUGGAGGGGAGACUACGACUCGGACUACUUCUUACCCUACUGAGUGGACAGGCAGUCCGUCAUCCUGUGGUGACCACAUCAAUGGUGACUUAACAUAAUGCCAGUCGUUUAUUAUAGGGUGACAACCCUUUAAACUUGGUUAUUAACGAUUCAUUUUUUUUACUGAAUUAUGAAAAUAUACUUGCCACUUGAUAGACAAAGACAAAGCGAAGUUCCAAUAAAGUUUGUUUGCCUAUCUGUGCUGGGAUUUGUGUGUGUGUGUUUUCACGGGCCAAGUGUUAUAUAUUUUUAUAAGUGAUUUCAUCGGAUAUCAAAGAACUGCGCUUUACAUAACAUGUGGCCAGUUAAGAUGUUCAAAAUGAAUAGUUGAAACAGACGAACGGACAAAAAAAAAAACAACAAAUCAACCACUUUGUUCAACUGCCUUUCAGACACAC
rnacentral:lncRNA from 1 species